rnacentral:rRNA from 1 species
AUUGAACGCUGGCGGCAUACCUUACACAUGCAAGUCGAACGGUAACAGGUCUUCGGAUGCUGACGAGUGGCGAACGGGUGAGUAAUACAUCGGAACGUGCCCGAUCGUGGGGGAUAACGAAGCGAAAGCUUUGCUAAUACCGCAUACGAUCUACGGAUGAAAGCAGGGGACCGCAAGGCCUUGCGCGAACGGAGCGGCCGAUGGCAGAUUAGGUAGUUGGUGGGAUAAAAGCUUACCAAGCCGACGAUCUGUAGCUGGUCUGAGAGGACGACCAGCCACACUGGGACUGAGACACGGCCCAGACUCCUACGGGAGGCAGCAGUGGGAAUUUCGGACAAUGGGCGAAAGCCUGAUCCAGCCAUGCCGCGUGCAGGAUGAAGGCCUUCGGGUUGUAAACUGCUUUUGUACGGAACGAAAAGACUCUGGUUAAUACCUGGGGUCCAUGACGGUACCGUAAGAAUAAGCACCGGCUAACUACGUGCCAGCCGCCGCCGUAACAC